GGUAUCCCAGAAUGCUUUGCGUGCCGCUGCACAGCCGCGCAUUUCAGGUGAGAGGCUGGACUCGCUUGGAGACGCAGCGCGUCUUCAAAGAAAAUACAAGAAAUCCAAAACCAGCAGACAGUCAGCUCAGGCUGUAUGAGAGCAUGAUCUCUGAACUCACUAAAAUCUGUAAACCAAACAUUAUAGAUUUAGAGACGAACUGAUCCGCUCUGCUUCAACUAUCAAAAACAUUAGAAAUAAGAAAGCUGACAAAACUACAGCAGAGGAUCAGGACAACAUUGAGGUUUUUUUCUUUUAAGAUUUAGAGAUUAAAGUUGUAAAUUUAGGAGAAUAAAGUCAUAAAGUAAAUAAAGUCAUAAAG